GACGAACGCUGGCGGCGUGCUUAACACAUGCAAGUCGAACGGAAAGGCCUCUUUCGGGGGGUACUCGAGUGGCGAACGGGUGAGUAACACGUGAGUAACCUGCCCUUGACUUUGGGAUAACUUCAGGAAACUGGGGCUAAAACCGGAUAGGAGCUCCUGCUGCAUGGUGGGGGUUGGAAAGUUUCGGCGGUUGGGGAUGGACUCGCGGCUUAUCAGCUUGUUGGUGGGGUAGUGGCUUACCAAGGCUUUGACGGGUAGCCGGCCUGAGAGGGUGACCGGCCACAUUGGGACUGAGAUACGGCCCAGACUCCUACGGGAGGCAGCAGUGGGGAAUAUUGCACAAUGGGUGGAAGCCUGAUGCAGCAACGCCGUGUGCGGGAUGACGGCCUUCGGGUUGUAAACCGCUUUCGCUCAUGACGAAGCUUUGUGUGACGGUAGUGGGUAAAGAAGCACCGGCUAACUACGUG
rnacentral:rRNA from 1 species